GAAAGUGGUGCUCCUGAAUUCCUUUGCUGUACCAUGGCUGAUCUACCAGCUGGAUCACUGCAAUUUCUGGGGUACCAAGCUGGCCGUCAUGGAUCGGAUGAUUAAACAAGCUGUGAAGGCCUGGUUGCACCUUCCUGCCUCGAUCGAUUACGGCAUCCUGUAUUCGCGCAACCGAGACAGAGGACUGGGCACAGCAAAGCUGGAGAGCCUAAUCCAUUCUAUCUGAGCUCGUAGGGUCUACCGCCUUGCCAACUCUGCGGAUGAGGUGACAAGGGCCAUGGUACGAUCCCUUGGGGAAGCCAGAGAAUUUCAGAGGCUGUGGGCCAGUGCCAGGGGAACUGAGGAGAACUGGCCUGUCCUGCUCGAUGAAGAUGUUUCCCCAGAGGAAAGAGUUAGGUGUCCGGUCCCGUGUGACUGGAGGUGCGUGGAAGCAGUCAAGUCAGGUUCACUCCCCCUGCAAGGGCUGGGGCUAACUGGUUUCUGGAAUGAUGUUGUGAGCAACACAUAGCUUUCCAAUCCCAUUGGGUUCAGGGAGCGUCACUUCAUUGCAGCGUUUUAGGUCAGGGCCAAUGUGUACCCAACCCUAGAAGUUCAGGAGACUUAGAGAAGGUCAGCGUCGCUGCAGGGGUUACCACCAUACCUUUGAAACAUGUGCGCAUGUCUUUGGGCAAUGUUCGGCUGUCCAGGGAGCGAGAUUGUCCGCCACCAAUUGCCUCGCCUUCAAGGCUGAGCAAUGUGGCUGGACUACUUACAGGGAACUCACCCUCACCUUGGGGAGUGAGGUGAGGAGACCGGACCAUGUUUUCAUAAAACCGUCUACUGCUCUGGUUGUGGAUGUGAUGAUCGGAUUUGAAUCUACCCCCGACGCCCUUUUGGUUGCGAGGAACGUGAAAAUCCGUCACUAUAGCCAGCUAAGCUCUGAGAUCUCUGAGUUAAUGGGAGCAGUUCUGGUCUACUUCUUUGGCUUUGUAGUGGGGGCACGAGGGAAGUGCCCUGAGUUCAACAAAGAGAUCCUGUCCUGACUGGGACUGGCAAAGCACAGGGCCAAAGCCUUUGCCAAACUGGUUAGUCGCAGAACCCUACGAUAUUCUUUGGAUAUCCUUAGAAUGUUCUCUGACUGUGGUAAACUGCCUGACGCCAGGUCGGAACCAGAAACCCAGAAUCAGAGCUGAUACUACCUGUACUCUGGCUAGGCAUCCCCCAGAAAAGGUGGUUGCUGAAACCUGCUUUUGCGCUUUUGAGGGGCUCGAGUGCAUCAGUUCCCAAGACCCCUCAUGUGUCUUGGUUAUCGGUUUGUGCUAGGGGUGCUUUUUGUGAGUCAGGUACUCCCAGUGCUAAGCCCCACACUGCUGGUCGCUUGCCCAAACGACCAGUGAGUAUUCAGGGUGGCAGCGUGGCUGGCCCUCUGCGUUAACAAAAGGGCCUAUAGGCAUGCCUCUGGGAGUCUGGUGCAUCUAUUAAGAAGGCUCCUUCUCCUGAUUGACCUGCCCAGUAGCCGGGUAGUAUGUUCGGCAUAUUGGACAUGACAUAACAACUUGUGUUUGUCGGCCGUGGCUUGCUAGGUUCCUAUCCAUGCCGCCUUGCCCAGGUUUGGAACUGAAAAUGAUGGGAGGGCAACUGAGGUGCUGUGCACCAACUCAGAUGUGACGUUAUCCUUGGACCGAUUUCCCCACAUAGACAUGCUGUGGUCUACUAGGUUCCUUCCUCUUAUCACGCCUACCCAAGGAGGAGAAGCGACAGUGACGAGUGGGCUAGUUGGACGUGGUGAAUUUCGUGAUGAUUAACCGCUAGCCAUCUGUCCGGCGAACAUUGACUAACAUGGUUUGCCGCAUGCAAUUGUCACCAGAUGACGUUGAAGAUGGGUUCUGAAACCCGGAAAGGACCUACGGGGAAAGUGUAGCCAAAUGCCUCGUCAUCUAAUUAGUGACGCGCAUGAAUGGAUGAACGAGAUUCCCACUGUCCCUACCUACUAUCUAGCGAAACCCCACCCAAGGGAACGGGCUUAGCAAAAUCAGCGGGGAAAGAAGACCCUGCUGAGCUUGACUCUAGUCUGGCACUGUGAAGAGACAUGAGAGGUGUAGAAUAAGCGGGAGGCUUCGGCCACUGGCGAAAUAUCACUACUCAUCGUUUUUUCACUUACCCCGGUGAGGCGAGGAGGCGAGCCCCAGGGAAGGCUCUCGCUUCUGGAGUCAAUUGCCCGGCACGUGUCGGGUGAGAUCCACUAUGGGGAGAGUGGCAGGUGGGGAGUUUGACUGGGGCGGUACACCUGUUAAAAGGUAAUGUGAGCUCAGGGAGGAUAGAAACCUCCGAUGGAGCAGAAGGGCAAAAGCUCGCUUGAUCUUGAUUUUCAGUAUGAGUACAGACUGUGAAAGCAGGGCCUCACAAUCCUUCUGGCUUUUUGGGUUUCAAGUAGGAAGUGUCAGAAAAGUAACUACAGGGAUAACUGGCUUGUGGCGGCCAAGCGUUCAUAGCGACGUUGCCGUUUGAUCCUUCGAUGUCGGCUCUUCCUAUAAUUGUGAAGCAGAAUUCACUAAGCGUUGGAUUAUUCACCCGCUAAUAGGGAACGUGAGCUGGGUUUAGACCAUUGUGAGACAGGUUAGUUUUAACCUACUGAAGAUGUGUUGUUGCAAUAAUAAUCCUGCUCAGUGCGAGAGGAACCGCAGGUUCAGACAUUUGGUGUAUGUGCUUGGCUGAGGAGCCAAUGGUGCGACGCUACCAUCUGUUGGAUUAUGACUGAAUGCCUCUAAGUCAGAAUCCCAUCUAGAUGCAGCGAUACUGAAGCACCGGAGCUCAUAGGUUGUACAAAGACACCCGGGCACAAGCCCGGCGUUGGAGCGCCUCUCGUGACCGGACCGGAGUGCGGACAGAUGAGCGCCGCCUCUCUCCCGAUGACGUACCUGAUGUUCGUGUGGAACUACUCGGUGCUAAAACCUUCGCAGACGACCUGAUUCUGGGUCGGGGUCUCGUAUGUAGCAGAGCAGCUGCCUCUCUGCAAUCUAUUGAGAAUCAGCCCCAGAUCUAAGUUUUGUCGGGCGGCGUCGCC
rnacentral:rRNA from 1 species